AGGAAUACAUCGGAAUCUACUUUUUCGUGGGGGAUAACGUAGGGAAACUUACGCUAAUACCGCAUACGACCUACGGGUGAAAGCAGGGGAUCUUCGGACCUUGCGCGAUUGAAUGAGCCGAUGUCGGAUUAGCUAGUUGGCGGGGUAAAGGCCCACCAAGGCGACGAUCCGUAGCUGGUCUGAGAGGAUGAUCAGCCACACUGGAACUGAGACACGGUCCAGACUCCUACGGGAGGCAGCAGUGGGGAAUAUUGGACAAUGGGCGCAAGCCUGAUCCAGCCAUACCGCGUGGGUGAAGAAGGCCUUCGGGUUGUAAAGCCCUUUUGUUGGGAAAGAAAUCCAGCUGGCUAAUACCCGGUUGGGAUGACGGUACCCAAAGAAUAAGCACCGGCUAACUUCGUGCCAGCAGCCGCGGUAAUACAAAGGGUGCAAGCGUUA
rnacentral:rRNA from 1 species